rnacentral:rRNA from 1 species
AUUGAACGCUGGCGGCAUGCCUUACACAUGCAAGUCGAACGGCAGCACGGGUGCUUGCACCUGGUGGCGAGUGGCGAACGGGUGAGUAAUACAUCGGAACAUGUCCUGUAGUGGGGGAUAGCCCGGCGAAAGCCGGAUUAAUACCGCAUACGAUCUACGGAUGAAAGCGGGGGACCUUCGGGCCUCGCGCUAUAGGGUUGGCCGAUGGCUGAUUAGCUAGUUGGUGGGGUAAAGGCCUACCAAGGCGACGAGCAGUAGCUGGUCUGAGAGGACGACCAGCCACACUGGGACUGAGACACGGCCCAGACUCCUACGGGAGGCAGCAGUGGGGAAUUUUGGACAAUGGGCGAAAGCCUGAUCCAGCAAUGCCGCGUGUGUGAAGAAGGCCUUCGGGUUGUAAAGCACUUUUGUCCGGAAAGAAAUCCUUGGCCCUAAUACGGUCGGGGGAUGACGGUACCGGAAGAAUAAGCACCGGCUAACUACGUG